UACGUAGGUGGCGAGCGUUAUCCGGAAUUAUUGGGCGUAAAGAGCGCGCAGGUGGUUGAUUAAGUCUGAUGUGAAAGCCCACGGCUUAACCGUGGAGGGUCAUUGGAAACUGGUCAACUUGAGUGCAGAAGAGGGAAGUGGAAUUCCAUGUGUAGCGGUGAAAUGCGUAGAGAUAUGGAGGAACACCAGUGGCGAAGGCGGCUUCCUGGUCUGUAACUGACACUGAGGCGCGAAAGCGUGGGGAGCAAACAG
rnacentral:rRNA from 1 species